rnacentral:rRNA from 1 species
UGCCAGCCGCCGCGGUAAUACGGAGGGUGCGAGCGUUAAUCGGAAUUACUGGGCGUAAAGCGCGCGUAGGUGGUCUGUUAAGUCGGAUGUGAAAGCCCCGGGCUUAACCUGGGGAUUGCAUUCGAAACUGCCUCACUAGAGUCUAGCAGAGGGAUGGGGAAUUCCGGGUGUAGCGGUGAAAUGCGUAGAGAUCCGGAGGAACAUCAGUGGCGAAGGCGCCAUCCUGGGCUAAGACUGACACUGAGGUACGAAAGCGUGGGGAGCAAACAGGAUUAGAUA